CUGCCACCUCAGGGAGCUAACUGCCAAGUGGAGUCGCAACCUGACAUCUGGGGCAUGUGUCAAACCACAACAGAGCCCGUCUCCCCUUUCAUCAAGUGCGGAGGGGGGUGCUGCUGGAGCCCUUGGAGGGAGGGACAGCUCUCACUUCAAAGGCCUCCUCAUGGAGAACUCCAGCCACCACCUUCCAGGUUUGCUUUUGGCUUCAUUUCUUGGACUCACUUGGCUCCAGGGACUGAGGUUUUACUUCUCUGCAGUGAGAAGAUACUGCUGCUUUUUUCCACUGGAAAACAUAAAUACUACCUUCACUAAAUGGUGCAUUGCACUUUUCCAAAUUAUUUUACAUCUACUGAUUAAUCCCCACGAUGACCCCAUGAAGUGCCUUUGUGUGCUGUCGUCCCCAUAUUACAGACGGGAAAAUUGAGCACAGGGCUUGUAGGGGGCUGUCCCGUGCACACAGAGGCUUCUCUGCCUCGUUUCUGGUCUUGCCUGCCUCCCUUGGGGAGGGAAAGUCACAUGACACAGGGAGUUGCUCCCAGAGCUCAGAACCUAAAUCUCAGUAAGCCAGAACCCACCUAACCAACUCUUCCAUCAUCCUGAGUCUGCCACCUUCCUCUGUCUUCUCCAUGAAGGAGACAGGCCCAGGAUGCACAGAAAGAAACUCAGAUUUGAGGUUUCCUCCAGGGAGGUAGCUCUCAAAUACAUCCUCAGGCCAGCCCAGCCCCUCCUCCUGUGGUCAGAGUUGCUGAGGUUCAGAGUUAACAUUCAAGGGACAUUUUACCCAAAGCCAUCAACAGUGAUGGGAAUGCUGGUCUUUCAGAAAAAUUGUCAGCCACGGGCUGGGAAAGGCAAGCGAUUUCAGGUGCCUCCUUUGGCUCCCCAGGGGAAGAGCCCACUGCCCCAGACCUCUGGCCAGCCAAGGUCUCGUGGCCAGCAGUUCCAAGGCUCAGCGAUAAGGCUGCUGCAGAGGAGAUACCAAGGAAGGCCGUCCCGCCACACUGCGCAGGACGGGCCAGUGGCUGCAGUGCCUUCUUCUGGACCGGUGGAAAAGGAACAAAGAAGCUGCAUGAAAAAGGAAGACGUGAGCUGUAUCAUUCCGAGAGAAGCGAAACAGGGAGAGGGGCCGCCCUGGCUUCCCAGAGGACCAGGUGGGAAAGGAUUCCUCCAGGGCUGUGCCGCCUGGGAAGACCAAUCGCCCGGGGCCUGGAUCCCGACAGCAGUCCCACAGCGCCACCUAGUGUCUUCCCGGGAUAACGUGCAUCCCGUCAUCCUCCAGAGCUGGGCCCUGGACCGGAACCCAGAGCACCUCCUACCGGCCAGAUGAAAAUCUGGUUAUCCACAAACGAAUGAAGAGCACUAGAAAUGGCAUGUAUGGGUAUGUGUGUAUAUAUCUAUAUAUUCUUACUGCUUAAAUAUAUUUAAAAGAUAAUUGUUGGGAGUGAAAAAUGGUAUAGACACUCUAAGAGAGUUUGGUAGUUUGUUAUUAAACUAAAUAUAUUCUCACCACACUAUCCAGCAAUCAUGUUCCUAGGUAUUUACCUAAGUAGUUGAAGUUUAUGUCCACACAAAAAUGUGGAUAUGAAUGUUAAUAUGGGAAUCCUUGAUUGGAAGCAAUUAAGAUGUCUUUAGGGCUUCCCUCGGAGAAGGCGAUGGCACCCCACUCCAGUACUCUUGCCUGGAAAAUCCCAUAGAUGGAGGAGCCUGGUGGGCUGCAGUCCAUGGGGUUGCGGAGAGUCGGACAUGACUGAGCGACUUCACUUUCACUUUUCACUUUCAUGCAUUAGAGAAGGAAAUGGCAACCCACUCCAGUGUUCUUGCCUGGAGAAUCCCAGGGACGGGGGAGCCUGGUGGGCUGCCAUCUAUGGGGUCCCACAGAGUCGGACACGACUGAGGUGACUUAGCAGCAGCAGCAGCAGCAGCAGCAGCAGGGCUUCCCCGGUGGC
rnacentral:lncRNA from 1 species